GGCGUCAAAUAUUUAGGGACGGAGGGAGUAAUAUAUUAGUAUAUGAUCGUCAUGGACAAAAAUAGUUUUGAGCAAAAGACACAACAGUAAUAAGAAGAUAUUUCCCAAUAUAUCGGUGGAAGAACAAAAGAAAUAUCUUCAUAGGAUAGAAAAUAUAUCAACGCUUGGAGUUGGACAAAUAUUCCAUUCAAAGGCUAUGAGAAAAUGAAAUUGUCUAAAUAAUAACAGAAAUAUUAGUUAAUUGGCGUUCGUGAAAAAUAUUAGUUAACACCAUUAACACUUGGAGAACUGAAAAACACAUGGGCUUGAGAGGUGUAGAGCAGAAGGCCUCGGGUCUCACUGGUGUAGGCUUGCAGGAGCUUAUAGCAACGUCAGACAGUACUCUCAUUUUGCCAGUGUCAUCUUCAAGUUCACUCGUAAUCAAAGAGUAUGUGGUGUUCCUUUCUGUAUUUAAAUCAGCACUGUCAGGAGCCAGAUUAUGAAAUGAAAAUCAGAACAAUGGACACACCAUAUAAACAGAGAAAGCCAUUAUAUGUAAACCAAUGGCCCUCAUUUCUUGUCACACAGUGAACUCUCCUUCAUCAUUCAGGAAAACAAACAUUGAGAAUUUUCAAUGGGAAUUUGAAGCACAUGAAAUUCCCAGCAGAAGAAGAUAGCAGUGUUGCUCUAGCCAUUUGCAUUUGAUACACAAAUUGGGUCUGAGCAGAGCAGUUAGGACUGAGAAUCAUCAGGAAAUUUAUCCUCACAGAAUUUUCAUCUCCAGGAGGGUUGUUGUCUGUGGGUAGGAGAUGUUCUGUAACCAUCCGUUAGGGAUGCAUCAAGGAUAUAUAUUAGAAAGAAAUCAGUGGUGGAGCCACCACCUGGGCAGGUCGGGCUCUGCCGAUGUCGUCUCCACUACGAACAGCUGUUGACACCUAUUAAAAUUAAUCGAUCACUGAAAAACGCUAUUAGUUGUCCAGACUUGAUGACAAUGCUGGCUCCGCCACUGAAAGAAGUUUUUGUUGGCCUCAAGCCGCCAUCUCUGAACUGGCUAUUCCAUUCCACCGAGAUCGAAGUGAUCUUCUGAUUGUGUUUGUUUGUUGCUAAUUGUCAUAGCGCCUUGGCUUAUCCCUAUUGAUGCGAGGCCAUGUCUUGAAAGCUAACAACAUCUGGGAUAUUAUCUUGUACUCUUCAGUCUUCAAGAUAGCGAUCACCCACUGAUGGAAGGUUAAGCUUGUGGUUGAGCCAUUAAAAUUAUGCAUAAAGUGGUAGCAGCCAGAUUCAAAAUUACAAUUGGUGGAGAGAUUGCAAAAAAAAAAAAGUAAGAGAUUUUUUACCAUAUAACAUGCCGAUGCGGUACCAAAUCGUCGCCAUUGAGUGGAUAGGAUCCAACGGCUGUCAUCACUGAGUAUCGUGAGGCACCCACUUGUUCUUGUGGUGGCACUGCAUUAGGAUGUGGAGGUGGAAGGGUACUUUUGUACUAUCGCAUGGCUGAUUCGGUCUCAUCCACUUGGAUUGUUUCAUUUGACACCGCCUCUUUCAUCUCCAUCUCCGCGUACCAACUUUGCAGCCCCGAUGUAUAGCGAGCAUGGUGUCUCCGCGGUGGCCGCCGUCGCGGAGAGAAGAGCGGGCGCACAACUGACGGCCCCGGACGAGCACGUCGAGAACCACAAAGCAUGGCUCCGCCAAGGAGGAGCUCAUAUUUACUGAAACACUCAAGUAGGUCAGAGAGUGAGUAGAAACAUAUCUUUAUUUUUAGGUGACAUUUAUUUUUCUAAGUUUUGUGGUUGUAUAUAAGCAUGUGAACCACAAAAUUAUAAACUCAUAUUUACUGAAGCUACAGCACACAGGAGGGGGCAAUACAGGUGCCAAAUUUUGACCUUUUUUAGUCAUUUCAUAUUAUUAGUCAUUUUGACCUUUUUCUAUUCAAUUUUUUAAAAAAUUAUAACAGCGUUUUCAACACAAAAUAAAUAUAUUACCAAAAUAUAUUUAAUGAAAUAAAAUUGGUAUUUUGGAUGUUGUUCUAUUUUUCUAUAAACUUGGUCAACUAAAUUAAAAUUGACUAAGAAAAAAUCAAGACGACCUAUAAUAUAAAGGUAAAUUUUGCUUCAGGAUACUCAAAAUUUGUGUUAUUUGUGGACAGACAUAAAAAACGUGUCAUUAAUGAAAGAUAUCCUGAAUAUGAUAAUUUGCUAUAGGAUAUAUUUGGCUAAAUUGGAGAGAUAAAUUCUUAAGAAAGACGGGAAUGCCCCUAGAACCACAUGUUUCAAACAUGACGUUAGAGUAAAAAUUUAGAUGUCAUCACCCCAAGUACAUCAUUAGCGUACAUCAUAUUCCAUCUUCACUCCAGUCUCAACUCAAAAGCUUUUGACUCUAGGGACAUUCUUGUAUUUUUUUAAAAAAUUCUCUCUCCAAUUGAGCCGAAAGUGUCCUCUAGCAAAUUACCAGUGUUUUAGAGUGUCUUUCAGUCAUGACAUGUUUUUACAAUGUCUAACAACAAAUUAUACAAAUUUUGAGUGUCAUGUAGCAAAUUUUGCAUAAUAUGAAGGGUCUGUUUGGCACAACUCUAGCUCCUUCUCCACCUCUCCUAGAGUUAGAGCUCAGCCAAACAGUUUUAGCUCCAUCUAAAAUGGGAGCGGAGCUAGGUGAGGCACACUCACAAAAUAAAAUAAGGAGGUGGAGCUGAGUUUAGAUUGCUACACAACUAUACUCCAGACCCAACUUCUGAAGCUAAAUUUAGGAGUUGGUGCUUCACUGAACAGACCCGAAAUGGAGGGAGCAACAGACAAUCACACUUGUGAAGUAUUCAAGAGAUGGAACACAAGAAACAAAACUUUGAAAUAUAAGUAUUUAAUUCGAAUUAUGUAAAUUACAAGUUAGUUCCCAAAUUAAUUUCUGAAAUACAUUAUGUUUCCUGAUAUUUUUCAGAUGCAUUAAAUUGACGAUCUUCUUAACUUUGGUCAUUAUUGCGUGCCAAGAAUUUGCUGUAUAUAUUACACCGUUGUCAGUAACAUGUCCAUUGUUUUUUUUUCCAAGACUUCACAACCACGAAGAGCUCAAAUUCAUCCUCAGUGUGAGCCAAUGCAGGGAUUGGGAUGCGUCAGGAAUAUGGAUGUGCCAUAUCUUUGUCCUAUCAUCUCAGGUUCUUAGAUGAACGGAGUUCCAUAGACCUGUUCGUUCCGAGCACUCGUCCGCGUAUGUUCUUAGGUGGAUGGAGUUCGGGAGGCCUGCUUGCUUCCGAGCACUCUUGCGUGCAAGUGCUCAGAACCGGGGAAAAUGGAUGUGCCAUAUCUUUGUUCAUCAUCUCAGGGAUGCAAAUGAUGGUGUGCUUCUGAGAAAUAUCCCAGCAUUUGCAAGAAUUACUCAUUUGGUUCAUCGCUCAGCGGCUGGGCUACAGGAAGCGGAUUCACCUGACCACUGCUCUCAACCAAAUUGUAGAGCUGUAGUAGAGGGUGUGCUCUUGAUCCAAUCAAAAGGGAUUGGAGAGCAGUUCAUUUCCUCUUCAGAUUUUAAUGGAAGGAAAAGACAAUUUGUUUCAGUAAAUUCAGAGAUCCAAAAUGAAGCUUACAUAUAUGAGAUCUUAAUAAGCAAGUAAGUUAAAUAGAUAGAGGUUGUUAAAGGGAAUAUGUGAAUGUGACGUGAGUAUUAUAGAAUUUUCUCAUCACUUGUACACGUUAUGCAGUCUUUGAGCCAAAGUUAAUACAUACUGAUGGAAAGGUUAAGCUGGUGACGACCCUUUAAAAUUAGAGAAAAUUCACUCUAUGCCACGAAGCUUGCCCGAUUCAACGAUUUGCCAUUGAAACAAAUUAAAUACACAUAGUAAAAUUGAAAAAUGGAUUUAAAAAAAAUACUCUAUGAAAUUAAUAUAUAGAAAGUUCUAUAAAAGAAUAGUGCUGAGCUCACCUGAAACAUGCCCUUCAACUGUUGUAUUUGCUAAAAAAACAAUCCUAGUAUUACACUAUGGAAUUAAGCAGGGACCAUCUAUAUAACGAGUCAUCUUUAUUCCUCAGUAGUCGUUCAGUAAUAUUGUUGGUGAAAAUCAUCAUCUGAACAGAAGCAAUAUAGAAUGUCCAGCCUGCAUAGAAGCAUUGGUGCUUCAGUCAUAGGUACCAAAUAUUGGAUCUUAGGAUUGAGAAGUAUCAGUAAAGCCGUCAUGACAGUGUUAGGGACUUCUACAGUUGAGUUAUUGUGUAGAUCCAAAUUCUAGUCUCUACGCAGAUUCGUGAACUCAUCCUGAAAGUCCUCUUGACAUUUAUCCACCACAGCGAUUUAUGCAGCUAGACAUUGAUUAGGCGAAAUACGCCAUCGUGAAGAAACAAAUUCCUAAUGUCCAUUUACAAUGUUUUUACUACGAUUAUAUAUAUGUCAGUCUCACAAAGAUGGGCAUGCACGAUGGUUAAAUUUAGAUGGCUGAUUAAUCUCUAAGAUGUGUUCCUGUUAAUCUUCCAA